AUGCUUGAUCUCAAUGAGUUGCCUCCUGAUCUCAAUGAGCUUCCUCAUGAUACGGAUCAGCAACAACCCAGCAUACAACAAGGAAAAUGGACAGAAAAUGGUCGAUAUGUUUACUACACGCAGGCAAAUCAUGAUGGUAAACCUAUGGGCCAUGACAAUGUGGCAGGCCAGUCAUCAGACCGUGGUGCUCAUGUAGUGGUGUCUUUGCAGUCAGAGAGCCAUACUCUAGAUGACACGGGAACCGAGGCAAAUGUUCCUGGUCCAACCAGGACUGAGCUAGGAGCUGGGGCUGUUGACGGAGCUGUGCAAUGA
rnacentral:rRNA from 1 species